rnacentral:tmRNA from 1 species
GGGUCUGUACUGGUUUCGACUGGGUGGCGAAAGCUGCUCGUUGAUGCAGGUCGAGAGCGAGUCGCAUCUCGUAAAUCAAGGCUCAAAACAAUAGAUGCAAACAACAUCGUAAAAUUUGCUCGUAAGGAAGUACUAGCUACUGCCUAAAAGCCUCUUAUAGGUUCGAGCGUUUCUAGUGUGACUCCGUUAAGUGCUAGAGACAACCCCCAACGGAUGCACUAACAAGUUUUCUUUGGUGGAUUUGUUAGUAAAGACUUCACUAAAGCAUCCUGCCGUUCGGGAUAAUGAACGAUUCCCGCCUUGAGGGUAAGAUAGGCUAAACCUGUGAAUGAUGCGGGGGUUAAUACCCAUUUAGGACGGCAGUUCGAUUCUGCCCAGAUCCA